AACGAACGCUGGCGGCAGGCCUAACACAUGCAAGUCGAGCGGACCUUUCGGGGUCAGCGGCGGACGGGUGAGUAACGCGUGGGAAUAUGCCCUUCUCUACGGAAUAGUCCUGGGAAACUGGGGGUAAUACCGUAUACGCCCUUUGGGGGAAAGAUUUAUCGGGGAAGGAUUAGCCCGCGUUGGAUUAGGUAGUUGGUGGGGUAAUGGCCUACCAAGCCGACGAUCCAUAGCUGGUUUGAGAGGAUGAUCAGCCACACUGGGACUGAGACACGGCCCAGACUCCUACGGGAGGCAGCGGUGGGGAAUCUUAGACAAUGGGGGCAACCCUGAUCUAGCCAUGCCGCGUGAGUGAUGAAGGCCUUAGGGUUGUAAAGCGCUUUCAGCUGGGAAGAUAAUGACGGUACCAGCAGAAGAAGCCCCGGCUAACUCCGUG
rnacentral:rRNA from 1 species